GAGAGAAUGGGAGAUUUAUGUCUGAUGGCUCGCUAUGCGCUACUUACGGGCAGUUACGAGGACAGAAGAUUUGAGAUUUGCCCGUGCAGGCAGUACAGCGCGCGAUCACCCGGCUCGCCGAGUCGCCGUCAGGUUCUCCACCUUCCGCAUCACCGGAUCAGAGCGACGCACGCGGCGCGUCAAACACCACCGUGACGACGCCUGAGC
rnacentral:lncRNA from 1 species